UACAGGAAUUGACUCGGAUUUUAUCCGGACAUGAGCUGUUAUCUGUUUUGAAUCGCUAAUGUCCAAGCCAUUUACAAUCAACAACAACAGCAACAAUAGCGCAACAAAUUAUGUUUACCUUAUCAAUGGCAUAUCCGACUAACAAACCUUUCAGCUGUUGUCCUACUCUGUGCGGCUAUUAUUAGCAGCAACGGCAAUUUCGCGCCAACAAAUACACGUCGACAACAAAAGCAAGUGGAAUGCAUACACUCUGUCAAUCAAGUGCCGCUAUGCUUAUGUGGUUACCGGUAUGCGUUUGCCUCUGGUGUGCCACGGAAGUGACAGCAGCCGGUCGAGUAGACAGAGCUUUUAAACGGCAAUACACAUGGCAGUAAAUGGCAAACGGUCGACGGUUCGACGAGCAAUCCAAGAGGAAAAGGUACAUUCUUUAGCCAACAGCGAAAACAUCGCUAACAGAACCUUCAAAGUCUCAGUUGCUCCGGCAGCGGGGGAAUAUGCACGCGUGGAAAGAAAAUGCGGAUAUUAGCAAUAAAGUUGCAGCUGUGUGACAUUCGAGGCGACUUAAUUGAAAGGAUGAAGAAUUAAAAGCAACGUUGCAGUGCAGUUGCUCUCACCGGAAACCAGAAAAUAUUCUUUACAGAGUAAAUUGUUGAAAAACAAUAACACAAAAAUAAAAUAGCACACAACUUUCUGAUUCGAUCUAAUGGCACCAACUACAACAUUAUAAAGUUUAUACGCUGAUUUUGAGUAAUUUGUACUUGUGCUUUACUUCUUACGAUAUUGGAAAAUGACAAGUGUCUUUAAGGAUUUUGGUGUUUUUGUUGAAAUUAUUCGAUAAUAAAAGUUGUUCCAGUGGAACA